GGAUUCCCCUAGUAACUGCGAGUGAAGCGGGAAGAGCUCAAAUUUAAAAUCUGGCGGUCUUUGGCCGUCCGAGUUGUAGUCUGGAGAAGUGCUUUCCGCGCCGGACCGUGUACAAGUCUCUUGGAAUAGAGCGUCAUAGAGGGUGAGAAUCCCGUCUUUGACACGGACUGCCGGUGCUUUGUGAUGCGCUCUCAAAGAGUCGAGUUGUUUGGGAAUGCAGCUCAAAAUGGGUGGUAAAUUCCAUCUAAAGCUAAAUAUUGGCGAGAGACCGAUAGCGAACAAGUACCGUGAGGGAAAGAUGAAAAGCACUUUGGAAAGAGAGUUAAACAGUACGUGAAAUUGUUGAAAGGGAAACGCUUGAAGUCAGUCGCGUCCGCCGGGAUUCAGCCUUACGGUGUACUUUCCGGUGGACAGGGCCAGCAUCACUUUCAAUCAUCGGAAAAGGGCGAGGGGAAUGUGGCACCUCCGGGUGUGUUAUAGCCCUUUGUCGUAUACGGUGACUGGGAGUGAGGACCGCCUUUGUAGGAUGCUGGCGUAAUGGCUUUAAACGACCCGUCUUGAAACACGGACCAAGGAGUCUAACAUGCCCGCGAGUGUUUGGGUGGAAAACCCAUGCGCGUAAUGAAAGUGAAAG
rnacentral:rRNA from 1 species